rnacentral:rRNA from 1 species
AUUGAACGCUGGCGGCAUGCCUUACACAUGCAAGUCGAACGGUAACGCGGGGCAACCUGGCGACGAGUGGCGAACGGGUGAGUAACGCAUCGGAACGUGCCCAGUAGUGGGGGAUAGCCCGGCGAAAGCCGGAUUAAUACCGCAUACGACCUACGGGUGAAAGGGGGGGAUCGCAAGACCUCUCGCUAUUGGAGCGGCCGAUGUCAGAUUAGGUAGUUGGUGGGGUAAAGGCCCACCAAGCCUUCGAUCUGUAGCUGGUCUGAGAGGACGACCGGCCAGACUGGGACUGAGACACGGCCCAGACUCCUACGGGAGGCAGCAGUGGGGAAUUUUGGACAAUGGGCGCAAGCCUGAUCCAGCCAUGCCGCGUGCGGGAAGAAGGCCUUCGGGUUGUAAACCGCUUUUGUCAGGGAAGAAACGCUCUGGGCUAAUACCCCGGGGUAAUGACGGUACCUGAAGAAUAAGCACCGGCUAACUACGUGCCAGCCGCCGCCGUAA